AUCCAAUUGACGAGUCCCAAAUAAAACGAAACGCGCAUCCUUGAU
rnacentral:hammerhead_ribozyme from 1 species